UUUGUUACACAUUUUUUGACCGUACAAUACGAUAAGCAAAACGGCCUUCGGCGUCGUCUAUAUAAAGUCUAGCUAGGGUUCUUCCUUCUUCACCCAAAAUCCCAACUCAGUCUCAGAGGCAGCGCAGCGGAGAGUUCUGCGGGAGUUGUUGCAAGGGUUGUUGCCCCUCUCCGCCUGUCCAUGAUGCCCCGACAUCUCAUCGGAUAAUUAUUCCGAUCGAUCAUCAACAACCCUCUCUACGCCGCCGCACCAUUGCGCGCGCGCUGUGUUUAUUCCGUCCUCGUCUUCGUCUUCCUCUUCUUCUUCUUCUUCUUCUUCGGUUCGCUUGAGUGUUACGCUGCGCUCCUAAGUACUACCGUCGGGAAAAUGGCUGUGAUGAUAAGAUAGUCUCUGAGUUGGGUCGGGCGGGGAUGAUGCGACCCGUAUCUUGGCGGGGCGGGUUCGGAUCAUUUGAGUCCGGAUUCCGCAGCCAUGGCGGCGUUGCCCUCCCUUCGCCCGUCGUUUUCCAGAUCUGAGCCUUUCCCGUAACUGUUUUUUUUUUUUCGUAGCUUUUUGGUUACCUUUCUGCAUUUUGGAACUCUGCUUCUUCAUUUGUAAAUUUGGCCAUUUCCUUGUGUAAGACUGUCUUGACUCUUGACUAUAUUUUUUAUUUUUGAAAAAAAAAUAUACGAUGAACAGUAUAUAUGAUUUGUUUUAUAGCUAAUAUAAAUAUUAUAUAUAUAUAUAUAUAUAUAAAUAUGGCGAGGUAGUCCGUGGACCUAUAAAAGGGCAGGAAAGCAAUUUGGGUUUGGUAUCCAUUCUUUUUCCUGCUCCCAGAAUGAGGCGGCGGAGAGGGAUUUUCUAAGGGUGGUUGCCCCUCUCUGUUCGUCUGUGAUUUCACUUUCCUCUCGAAGCCCUAACAGCCCUGACUUGCUUUGCUUGCCUUUUCCAUGGUUAUGGAACCCUGAGAUUCCACAACCUUAACAAGAAUCAUGUUUCCUAAUGUGCUUCUUCUGGCUAUGCUUAUACUUGCUAGCUAAUUACAUUCUUUCUUGUUAUGGGACGGACGGAGUAUUAUUAUUAUUAUUAUUAUUCAUCUUUUGCUCGUUCUUGGAGAAGGCUGUGAUGAUGAUUUUCUAAGGGAGCGGGAGAUUCUGGCAAGAUGUAACCGGACCGUAUCUUGGCGUGGCAACCGAGUAUCUCGGAUUUGCAGCCAUGGCGGUUUUGGGCAUCUGCCAGAUUCAACACAGAUCUGAGCCUCA